rnacentral:rRNA from 1 species
GACGAACGCUGGCGGCGUGCUUAACACAUGCAAGUCGAACGAAGUGGCGAACGGGUGAGUAAAGCGUAAUCAACCUGCCCUUCAGAGGGGGACAACAGGUGGAAACGACUGCUAAUACCGCAUACUGAAGGAGGGGAUUGAGUCUGCUUAGCUAGUUGGAGGGGGAACGGCCCACCAAGGCGAUGAUCAGUAGCCGGUCUGAGAGGAUGACCGGCCACAUUGGGACUGAUACACGGCCCAGACUCCUAAGGGAUGCAGCAGUGGGGACUCUUCCGCAAUGGACGAAAGGCUGACGGAGCAACGCCGCGUGAGUGAUGCCGGCCUUCGGGUUGUAAAGCUCUUUUAAUCGGGACGCGGUACCGGAAUAGAAAGCCACGGCUAACUCCGUGCCAGCCGCCGCGGUAAUAC